UGGGGAAUAUUGGGCAAUGGGGGGAACCCUGACCCAGCAACGCCGCGUGAAGGAAGAAGGUUUUCGGAUUGUAAACUUCUGUCCUAUGAGACGAAGGAAGUGACGGUAUCAUAGGAGGAAGCCCCGGCUAACUACGUGCC
rnacentral:rRNA from 1 species